CAUCUGUUAAAGAUUUGCUGGCAUCAUUGCACAGCCAGGGAGAGGAAGAGAAGAAGGAACACAAGUCAGACAAAACAGAAGACGAGAAGAACUGCUUCAAGCUGGAGUGAUGUCGCUGUGGUUCUUUUGUGACUGAUCAUCUCUGGAGCUUUUGUGAAUGAUCUAGCUAGCUAUCUAUAAUUGA